CUCUUCUGGGGAAGGGGAUCUUCUCAGAGAACAAGGGGAGCCUGGCAGAAUAUUUUUCUUUCUUGUGAAAAAGAGGCAAUAGACCAACACAAGCUGACAGUUGGCUCUUUCCGGACAGCCCGGAAAGGGGCCUUCAAGGGCGUCAAUCACGACGCCGACGCCCAAACGUACCGUCCUUCGCCUUUGCGUCGAGCUUACGCAGGAAGUGCGCGUGUGUCAGCGUCUCCGGCUGCCGGGGAGAGUGGAAGCACAGAUACGGGUUCAGGAGGAGCUUGUAUUUAUAAUCCCACAGGAGAUGAUGAAUGUAGAACAUUUUUUCCAUUUUGUACAGCACUGAUACGUGCAUCAAGCAUCUCAAACAAGACAGUCUCUGGGAUUUCAUCUUCCUUUUUGAAGCGACCUGACCUAUCAGGAUCUUCAUUUCCCAACACAUUCUGGAGUUCUGAAGAAGUUCACUGUGACUAUUUUUGCUGCUGUCCAUUGCUUUCGUGGAGGGAUGAAGCUUUGGAGUUUUCUACUCCGCUAUUUUCACAGAUGUCCGUCCAGUGGAGAGAGUGGGUGAUAUGGCUGUGA
rnacentral:lncRNA from 1 species